GAUGAACGCUGGCGGCGUGCCUAAUACAUGCAAGUCGAGCGAACAGACGAGGAGCUUGCUCCUCUGACGUUAGCGGCGGACGGGUGAGUAACACGUGGAUAACCUACCUAUAAGACUGGGAUAACUUCGGGAAACCGGAGCUAAUACCGGAUAAUAUAUUGAACCGUAUGGUUCAAUAGUGAAAGACGGUUUUGCUGUCACUUAUAGAUGGAUCCGCGCCGCAUUAGCUAGUUGGUAAGGUAACGGCUUACCAAGGCGACGAUGCGUAGCCGACCUGAGAGUGUGAUCGGCCACACUGGAACUGAGACACGGUCCAGACUCCUACGGGAGGCAGCAGUAGGGAAUCUUCCGCAAUGGGCGAAAGCCUGACGGAGCAACGCCGCGUGAGUGAUGAAGGUCUUCGGAUCGUAAAACUCUGUUAUUAGGGAAGAACAAAUGUGUAAGUAACUAUGCACGUCUUGACGGUACCUAAUCAGAAAGCCACGGCUAACUACGUG
rnacentral:rRNA from 1 species